GGUAUUAUGACUAUACGAAGGUAUUGAAAUAAGGCUUUAAUUGAGUGCUAAGAGAAUGGCUUAACAUAGGUUGACUUUUUUUCUUUUUAUAAUAGAAGUUGAUUUAAAAAUGAAAAAGUUUUUAUAAAAUUUUGGGACAAGAAGACCCUAUGAAUUUAUUUUUUGAGAGAUUAGUAUUUUAUGAUUAAGUAAAUAUUUCGAUUUUUUAAAAGUUGAUUGGGGCGAUUUUUAAAGAUUGCAAUCUUUAAAAAAGAGGAGGAAGUAGAUCCUGUAUUAUGGAUUAUUUGAUGAAAAAUACUCUAGGGUUAACAGCGUUAUUACUUUGGAUAGUUCUUAUUGAUAAAGUAGUUUGCGACCUCGAUGUUGGAUUAAGAUACUUUCAUAGUGGAGAAGCUAUGUAAAGAAGUUUGCUCAACUUUUGAUAUCUU
rnacentral:rRNA from 1 species